UAAAAAAAUUAAAAGUCUUUUUCCUCCGUUCUCCCCAAUAAUUUCAUGACAGCGUCAAAAAAUUCAAUCGAGCGCCAAAAAUUUCAUCCCAGCGCCAAUUUCAUCCCAGUGCCAAAAAUUUCACCCCCAAAAAAUUCAUCACCGUACCCUCUCAAAUCCCUAACCCCCUCCACCUCCCUCAUCUACCCCGUCGAAGUCCGACCAUAGCCGCCGGCCAACGCACAUUCAUUAUUUUAUUUAAGGGAAAUUACCUUAGUGUGUGGUAUAUUAUUAAAUGUGUAAUCCACAUACAAGCGAUGUUCUGAUUUCGUUUGAUUUUCUCAGGUUUGAGCGCAUAGGCCAGAGCACGCAUCGCCAAUGCUCUUGAGGACGACCUUUUGAAAUUGGCGAGAAAACGUUUGGGUGUGUUGCUGGAGACCCUUGCACCUGAAUUAGGAAGCACGUUGAAGUGCUGAGGGAGGCUCAGAGCGCACAUGAUGAGCUUCAAGCUUUUUUUUGAGGAAACAGUCGAACUUGAAGCUAAAUACCAGAAGCUUUAUGAACGUUUGUACAAGAAGGUAAUCCAUCAUUAGCAGCUAUUGUUAUAUAGCAAGUUCAUUGAUGCUAACUAUGAAACCUUGAGACUUCUAGGCUUUUUUCUGAGUUCAGCCUGGGUACUAUGCUAGCAUCUAAGUAUCGUUUCAUAUUAAUUUUUCAAUGUUAUGAAAUUGUCAACGGUCUACUCGAAGUCGAAGGUGUUACUGUCGUAGCUCCAGAGGAACCCCUGUCUAAAGCUAAAGCUCCUGAAAGUUUGUAAAAGAUCUGAAGAUUAAAAAAUGUUUGCAUGUAGUUUAUGUGGAUACGACGCUGAUGCUAUUUUCUUUCUGUAGCUAAUGGUGUACCAAUUUCUGGCUCACCGCAAUGAAGUCACAUGAAGUUUUGGCUAAAACGAUCUAGGAGCAUGAUGAAGGAGCUCUAAAGUACCUCAAGAAUAUUAAAUCAUGACAGAGAUUGAAUGGUUUCUUGGUAAGAACUUGACUCAAAAGAUCUCAAAGAAAAAUGCAGAGGGGUCAGAGAAUGCCCAACCUAUUACUAACAUUGAAGACUAUGGGAGCUUCUUCGACUUCUUUAAUCUCCCUGACGUUCCUAAGGAUGAUUAUGGCAUCAUGAAUUACAAGGAAGAUACAGAGGCUUUACUUAUGUCAUGACAGGGGAAGCUUUAGUAAUGACCCUUUUUUUUGCCAUUUACUUUGGCAUGCUGGACAGCUGCUGAAGGAGACGGAGCAGAAUUAUGAUAUAGGGACUACUAUCCGUGACAAGAUUAUCCCAAAUGCUGAUUUCAUGGUUCACUAGAGAGGCUGUUGAAGAAGAUAGUGUUGUAGAAUUAGGAGAGAAUAAUUAACGAGGAUGACGAAGACGAAGAAGAGAACGUGAAUUUUAGAGUGUAUAGAUGUUUCAAUUUCUUCUAGUAUACACAGGUUGGCUGAGAAAUGUUAUACAGAUGUCAUUGGUUUUGAACAUGUUUACACAUUUGUUUCUUUUCCCCCUCGUACGUGAAAUUGUACAUGUCUAAUGGAAAAUCAAAAUUUUCUAUGUGAUACAUUACUUGGUAUUCAGAGAAAGAAAAAAAUGAAUAUUCAUUGACAGCAUUCCUAUA